AAAACGUGAAAGCAAUGUUACAAUUCGUUCGUUGAAGUUUAGUGAAGAAGCCAUUAUCGAUGAAGUUAAAAGCGAUAUGCAGACAGAUAUAAUCAACAACAACUCGAUUUUCACGUUUGCCAGAGUCAGGAAUACUUUUAAAA